GGGGGCCGGCCCGGUGGCGCAGCGGUUAAGCUCGCACGUUCUGCUUCUCGGUUCCGCUUCUCGGCGGCUCCGGGUGCGCAGGUUGGGAUCCUGGGUGCGGACAUGGCACCGCUUGGCACGCCGUGCUGUGGGCCAGAAAGUCUGUGUUUCUGCCACGUCUUCAAGAUAAUCAAAGGAAAGGAGCUGUGUGGCUCCUGCAGUCUCAGUUUACAAGACAGUUGCCCACUGAUUGUUCCAUGAAUAAAGCAGGAAGGAAGAUCUGACUUCAAGGAUGGAGGAAAGACAACCUGGCGGGGGAAAAUUAGAGAAUGAUGAAGUCCCCGGAAUUCAUAUUUCUUGACUCAGUGCUUAGGGACAUUUUUGCCUGAUGUAAAAAACAUUGUCCUACCCAACCAGCUUCACUGACAUACUGCUCCUCAACCUUGGCCAAAAUUCUCCACGGAGGCAGUCAAGACGAUGAUCAUCCAUUAUAUCCUGUCACUCUGCCUCUGGAUUCAAGUCAGAAGACCAUCUUUUCUAACAGUUCCAUUUCUCCUUUAAGAGCCCUGUGCUUCUGCAGGAAAACUAAGGAGAUUACCAGAGUCUUAAAAAAACAGGUUUACAUGAGGAUUCUAGGCAGUGAUUUCUACUGUUGCUGUUCCUGGUGCUCACUGCCAUUUAGAUUGACUCCAGUGGAGGAACACAGUAGGCUCUGAACUCAGUAUUCUUGAAGAAGUGCCACGUAGUAAAACAGGUGCCAAGUACAUAAGAUGCACCAGGUGCGAAGGAUACACAGACCGGGAAGAUCAAAAAAAGGGUGAUCAAGUCUACCUGAGGGAAACACCGGCCAGAGGGUGACUGACUCCGCUUGGAGGAAUACAGACAAGAAGGUCACCAACUCUACCUGGGAGAGCUGGAUAAGGCUUCCUCUGGAGACAGAGGAUCCAGAAUUGAGUCCUUCUCCGGCAUCUGUCCUGCUACUCGACCACUGCCUUUCCAUUGUCUAGACUGUAAGGCACCAGAGGCAAUUAAACAGAGGAUGAAUGCCAGCAGACAGGUGUGCCCUGCUCGCGUCCCCUCCUCAUUCUACACCGCUCCUAUUCUCUGAAAUGCAUACAAGCUAAUCUGGAAGCAGCAAAUUAACUAAAAAAGCUUGAUUGCCAAUACUUCCAGUUAUGGAAAUCGAUUCCUGAAUAAACCGUUGUCCGUGCUAUCGUUGGCAAAGGCAUGAUAUUAAAAGAGAUCUCAGACCUUAGACGUACUUU
rnacentral:lncRNA from 1 species